rnacentral:lncRNA from 1 species
UUGUUUUUCAUAACAUAAAUACUCAUUUCAUUUAAAUAAUCAACAUGGCUUAUGAGUAUUUUAAAAGCUUGGCUCCUGCCAAAAUCAUUCUCGGGGAUACCUUGAUCGAGGCAUCUAACCAAGUCCACCAAGGCUGUUAAAAAUUUCGUAUACACGUAAACAAAUUAUUAGUUUGAAAAACACAACCGUUCCUUAGCGUUAGCGGAGUUCAUCAUCACAAGGUGGUUCGACGUGACGUGAACUCUAACCAUACCUCAAGAGAUACCCUACGCGCCUUUCCGACUGAGGUACAUAUGUAUAUCCGGAUUUUGUGCCCUUCUAAUAGGCUAGUCCACAGAAUCUGCCUACUGCAGCAAGCUAAACCCACCAUAUAAUAAAAUUUUGACAGCAUGACAGGGCUAAUAUUUUACUACCCAGCCUGCAAGGGUAAAAUAAAACAAUUCAUACAAUUCAUAAAACACAGCCCAGCCAAUCAUGCCAACACAAUAACAAUAUAACAUAAGCCAUCAAUUUUCAAUCAUAAAUUUACAACAUACUAGUGGUCUCCAAUUACUCUAUUUUCAAAAUCGUUAUUUUUUUUCAAGACAAUUUAUAAAAUCUUUUCAUUUAAACACAUUUUUGUUUAUAAAACCUAAAAUUUGCCAUUUAACUCAUUUUCAUAAAAUUUCACCAAAACCGAGUUAAAACAUACUUUAGAUAAUUAAAAUGAUGAUAAGGUUACUCACAAUGUCUAGAAUGGG